rnacentral:tRNA from 1 species
GCCACCAUAGCUCAGUGGUUAGAGCACUGGUCUUGUAAACCAGGCUCGUGAGUUCAAUCCUCACUGGUGGCU